CUAAACAUUUUUAAAAUAUACAGAUUAAGUAACCACAUAGGUAAUAUUUAACUAUUGAGGUUAAAUGUGUUUGGCUUUCUGUCCGCAGAGGAAGGGCUCCAGCUCAACUCAAGCUCUGAUAAAGCAGGUGCUUGGAAGAUAUUUUUGGAAGGGUGCUUGUUGUAUUUUUCUGGUCACCGAAAAGAUGGCAUUUUUAUUACUGAACAGGCAUGAUUGCGGUCCCUGUUUGAUCUGACAAGAGACCCAGAGAGCAAUCACACCCAGAGGUCCGUCACGCUAAGAAUCCUCACUGUUCGUCAUACCUCACUCCAAUCUACAUCAACACCCCCCAAUCACCACCUCCUUCGACUGCAUGGCAACCAGCUCCCAUGGCAACCACUCCUACAAGGGUUGUAUAGGGCCGUCAAGUUUCGAUCCCAGCCCAUGUAGCAGUGAUCC